CAUGCCGCGUGUGUGAAGAAGGCCUUCGGGUUGUAAAGCACUUUCACUUGGGAAGAAAGGCUGGGGGCUAAUACCUUUCAGCUGUGACAUUACCUUGAGAAGAAGCACCGGCUAACUCCGUGCCAGCCCCGGCGGUGACUGAGCGGGCUGGCAAGGCGCA
rnacentral:rRNA from 1 species